rnacentral:sRNA from 1 species
CGUUCGAUCGGGAUACUCAUCAAAUAAUACAGAAAACCGAGAACGCAUCUUUUGCUAAUGGCGGGCCACAUAAAUCUGCAUUCCUGCGGACUAAGCUGCAAAGCCGGUGGAUUACAAAGGCGGAGAGCACUCAAAUCAUUUCAACUCGGAGUUUCAUCACAUCAC